CAGCCGUAAACUAUGUGCGUUAGGUGUAUCGGUGACCACGAGUUACCGAGGUGCCGAAGGGAAACCGUGAAACGUGCCGCCUGGGAAGUACGGUCGCAAGGCUGAAACUUAAAGGAAUUGGCGGGGGAGCACCACAACAGGUGGAGCCUGCGGUUUAAUUGGACUCAACGCCGGGAAGCUCACCGGAUAGGACAGCAGAAUGAUUGCCGGGCUGAAGACCCUGCAUGACUAGCUGAGAGGAGGUGCAUGGCGUCAGUGACU
rnacentral:rRNA from 1 species